ACGAACGCUGGCGGCAUGCCUAACACAUGCAAGUCGAACGAGACCUUCGGGUCUAGUGGCGCACGGGUGCGUCACGCGUGGGAACCUGCCCUUAGGUUCGGAAUAACUCCCCGAAAGGGGUGCUAAUACCGGAUAAUGUCUUCGGACCAAAGAUUUAUCGCCUUUGGAUGGGCCCGCGUUGGAUUAGCUAGUUGGUAGGGUAAAAGCCUACCAAGGCGACGAUCCAUAGCUGGUCUGAGAGGAUGAUCAGCCACACUGGGACUGAGACACGGCCCAGACUCCUACGGGAGGCAGCAGUGGGGAAUAUUGGACAAUGGGCGAAAGCCUGAUCCAGCAAUGCCGCGUGAGUGAUGAAGGCCUUAGGGUUGUAAAGCUCUUUUACCCGGGAUGAUAAUGACAGUACCGGGAGAAUAAGCGCCGGCUAACUCCGUG
rnacentral:rRNA from 1 species